UUGGUGGCCAUGUGGAGGAGCUGGGAGAGUGGCACCCCUGGAGAGGGUGUGGAAGCUCCGUUGCCUCCACCGUCUUUUCCGCCUGCUGUUCCUGAGUUGUAUCCUUUUAUUAUAAAUCUGCAACCUAGUAGUAAACUGUUUUCCUGAGCUCCAUGAACUGCUCUAGCAAAUCACCAAAUCUGAACAGGGGCUCAGGGGAACCUCUGAUUUAUAACUAGUGGUUCAGAACCACAGGUGGCAACCUGGACUUGUGACUGGCGUCUGAAGGCAGUGGGCAUAGUGUUGUGGGACUGCCUGAGCCCUUAACUUGUGGAAUCUGAUGCUAACCUCAGGUAAAAAGUGUCAGAAUUGAAUCAAAUUAGAGGACACCCAGUCAGCAAAUGUUGAGAACUGGAUAAUUGAUGGGUGUGUGUGUGUGGGGGAAAUAAUCCCACACAUUUGGUGUCAGAAAUGUGUGAGUAUAGGAGGAAAAAGUUACUUUUCUUUCUUUUUAGGAAGGGGAAAGAGGAGGGUAGAAAAGAAUAAGGAAGAAGAAAAUACAGUGGAGAUUCCUGGCUAAAACUGGUUGGCUCAUGUUUACUCAGCUUCAUGGGUUUAGAUUCAGUUAAGGCUGACAUUGGUUUCAGAAGGACGUAUAGUUGAACCAGUUCUUGAUAAGCCUGAAUCUUUAUGUGCUGCAUGUCUGUAAGCUGCCCUCUCAAAGACCUGCUCUCCUCACGUGCUGCAGAAAGAAAAUGACGUGGACAGAGACAGAAAUGUCACAAUCUACGCUCAGCUGGUCUGGAUUAUCCAACUUCUGAGGUGUAUCUGCCGGCUGUCCCUGUAUCCCAUUAUAAAUCAUCUCCUUGUUGAACAUCAGGCCAGACUGGGGUCUGAUUCAUUGGCUGUAUGUGGCUACCUGGCUCCAGGAGGAGCCUCUGUCUCAGUCCUGUAAUAGUCAUCAUGCUUUAAGAAACCUUCACAUUUCUGAACAGUUACAUAGUGUCCUCAGCUGAAGAAAGAGGAAGUCUGGAGUCCAUUUCCGGCAGUUAGCAGGGAGCUGUUUUCCUCUCUCUGACAUUAGCAAGAUCGUCAAGGACACUUGUGACAGAAACGUUUUCAACACCAUGGCAUGUUCCUGAAGAAUCAAAGUUGGCCAGAGAGACUAAACAAGGAUAACGCAGACCCUUUUAUGACGCUGUUUUUCUAUUUUUAA
rnacentral:lncRNA from 1 species